rnacentral:tRNA from 1 species
GAGGGUGUGGCUCAGUGGCAGAGCGUGUGCACAGCGCGCGUGAGGCCCUGGGUUCAAUCCCCAGCCCCUCU